UUAAUUAUUAUUAUUUUCUGACGCUGAUUGCAACUGCAAAUGGUUUAAUGGUUGUCCUGUCGGCAGGCAAGCCCGCCGAGGAAACAAAUGGUACGCAAAAGACAAGGGUAAAGCAGGGACCGAAGUCCGCUGUUUUUUGAUAAUGAUCCUUCCGCAGGUUCACCUACGGAAA
rnacentral:misc_RNA from 1 species